UGGGGAAUCUUGCGCAAUGGGGGGAACCCUGACGCAGCGACGCCGCGUGCGGGAUGGAGGCCUUCGGGUCGUAAACCGCUUUCAGCAGGGAUGAGACAAGACGGUACCUGCAGAAGAAGCCCCGGCUAACUACGUGCCAGCAGCCGCGGUAAUACGUAGGGGGCGAGCGUUAUCCGGAUUCAUUGGGCGUAAAGCGCGCGUAGGCGGCCGGGCAGGCCGGGGGUCAAAUGGCGGGGCUCAACCCCGUCCCGCCCCCGGAACCGCCCGGCUCGGGUCCGGUAGGGGAGGGUGGAAUUCCCGGUGUAGCGGUGGAAUGCGCAGAUAUCGGGAGGAACACCGGUGGCGAAGGCGGCCCUCUGGGCCGAGACCGACGCUGAGGCGCGAAAGCUGGGGGAGCGAACAGG
rnacentral:rRNA from 1 species